GUGAAGGGGUUGAGGAAGGAGGAGAGGACAAGGUGACCUCCUCAGCCAAACAUAGAGAGGGUGUCUCGGUGCUGCUUGGAGCACACGAGGAGAGCUGUCGAUAAUAUAAAGUGAAGCGCUCACAACUCAAUUGAACUUUGGUUUUAGUUUUAAAGAAGGAUAUCAAGACCUGCAAGGGAAUUGAACCGUCGACAGGCCCGACCAGAAGCACCAUGACCAGUGUUAACUCCCCCGCCUGCCUCCUGGCUCGUAACCAGUUCUAUCGAAACAAAACAAGCCCUACAGAGAGUAUAAAGCCUACUGCAGUCUACAGCCUCUCUGAUUGGUCAAUGCUCCAAGUACUGGUCUGGGUGACCAUGUCAACACAACCAGGGUUCCCAGGAGCAGGGGGGAUAUCUAAAGGAUGGUGGGUCAGUGUGGUUCUGGGGAGCCCCAAACCACGCACCGUCCAGCGCCCCCCCCCUCCAGCCCACCCUCACCCGGCGCCCCCAGUCCAGCACCCUGGUCCAGCGCCCCAGCCCACCACCCCUCCAGCCCACCCGGCGCCCCCAGUCCAGCACCCCGGUCCAGCGCCCCAGCCCACCACCCCUCCAGCCCACCCUCACCCGGCACCCCCAGCCAACAGAGCGGUCCAGUAAAGACACACCACCACCAAUCAACAGGUUGAAACACACAAAGGGAGAAGACACCUUCCACCCUGUCUGUCCUCUCAGCACAGAAAUAUGGACUUGAUCAAGCCAGUCGGUGUUGGACCUGUUUUACAUUUUGCAUCACACAAAAAGAAGCGAUUUCUGCAAGCGCUCUCUAAAACAGACGUCAGCCUUUAUUCAACCUCUAUUCGCCGAAGCGUUACAGAUCGCACGCUAUCGAAAUUUCUGAUUGAGCCGACAUAUUUCAGCGUUUUACCGUGAAUGCAGUCUCCACUAACAUCGCCUUUUAAAAUGUAAAUCACGCCGUAACGCUGAACUUCCGCGAUAUGGAUUGAAAAGACCCCCCUUUGUAUAUUAUUCCAUACAUUGAUAUAAGAUGUGAAUUCAAUCAAACACACAGUCCAGUUAUACCCCCCCCCCCCCUGCCCCUACUCUCCUCUUUCUUUGAUUAAUUUUCCCCCCUCACUUCCUUCCUUCGUUUCAUAACUGGUCCGCAGCCUGUUCUUCUCUGUGCAGCACCACUGAAGGGACAAGAUGUUUCCCCUUUUCUCCUGAUACUGGCUGGUUGCCAGGCAACAAUAUGGGAACAUUCAUACAUGAGUGGAAUAAAACAACUGCGUUUAGAUCAGACCAUAGAGCAACAACAACAACACAAAGGUAUAGACAUUAAUCAAAUAAGAUCUGAUUACAGAUCAGAUUCACCAAACUCCUACAGCAGGAACCUGUUGACAUGAGUCAGAUUCGGAUUUGUUUACUGUAACAGUAUUUGCUUUCGGAGCAGCAUGGUAGUUGAAUAAAAUCUCCUUGUACAUUGCAAGAACCUGUUAGAGAGAGCUAGAGAGAGAGACAGGCAGCAGAAACCUGUAGCCUGGUUCAGAGCUAGAGAGAGAGACAGGCAGCAGAAACCUGUAGCCUGGUUCAGAGCUAGAGAGAGACAGGCAGCAGAAACCUGUAGCCUGGUUCAGAGCUAGAGAGAGACAGGCAGCAGAAACCUGUAGCCUGGUUCAGAGCUAGAGAGAGACAGGCAGCAGAAACCGAUUGCCUGAUUCAGAGCUAGAGAGAGACAGGCAGCAGAAACCUGUUGCCUGGUUCAGAGCUAGAGAGAGACAGGCAGCAGAAACCUGUUAGAGAGAGCUAGAGAGAGACAGGCAGCAGAAACCUGUUAGAGAGAGCUAGAGAGAGACAGGCAGCAGAAACCUGUUGCCUGGUUCAGAGCUAGAGAGAGACAGGCAGCAGAAACCUGUUAGAGAGAGCUAGAGAGAGACAGGCAGCAGAAACCUGUUGCCUGGUUCAGAGCUAGAGAGAGACAGGCAG